rnacentral:rRNA from 1 species
UAAGGUGGUUAUUGCGUCGGGGCUCACCUCUUCCCAUCCCGAACAGAGAAGUUAAGCCCGACUGCGCAGAUGGUACUGCAAUUUGUGGGAGAGUAUGUCGUCGCCUUUCUUUUGAAAACCCUUCAUCAUUUACGAUGAAGGGUUUUUUG